UGCUGCUGAAAGCUGCGACAAGACUUAAUGCAUUCUUCUUUUCACAGGAUCUACAAGGUCUUAUAGAGCGACUCCAGAAUACCUCAUAGGAUGGAUCUGAAGCCAAUUGCAACCCUGCCUAAGGCUUUGGCUGCACACACCAAUGCCAGCACCGUGAAAAUACCCGCAACAGGCCAAGGGGCCACAAGCUUCUGCCUCCCUCAGGAACAAGAUCUGCUCCACUUAUUAUGCCAGUUUCCUGUGCAGCCGACACAAUACACUGGUUCCUCUGCAUUCUCCAGAAGCAACAAUCUCCCCCGAAACCCCACUUCCUUCAGAGUGUCUAUUUAAGCAUGGAUUUGCUGUAUUUCCAAGACAGACGGUAUCUCCCAGGGCGCGCUGUGGCCACGUGACUGCCAUGAUGCACCACUUCCCUGUACGAAUAGAGUGAAAGAGGAGGGCAUGCCGAUAUACUUAUUUUUAACAGGGAAACCAAACUACAAUGAAGAAUACUGGUUUGCAACACCUGCACUACAGUUCCCAGGAGGCAGUGCAGCUAUGUUUAGGAACCAAAAUACUGUUCUUUUUCACUGCCAUUUCAGACUAUUCUAUGUAAAAAAGUCUUCCUAACUGCCCAUUUUCCAAGCAGCUCUAACCAAGCAUCCUCAAUGAGACAAUAUAGGAAAUAAUAGAAGAGGGACCUACUUAAGGAAAAAAGAGACCUAGACGUCCCAUUUUCAGAUGUCGUCAUCUUCUUAUGAGCUUAUUUUCCAUUGUGUGAGGUACUUAACUGAUUCUUCAGAACAACUGGAUGUUAAUAAUGAUCAAUCUACAUUUACUCUGCACGUAACCACAGAGGUUACGAUGCACGGCAUAACUGCAGUGUCCCGAAUGUUUCCUUUUUGUGGCUGGCUGCAGAGACCGUAACCGCCUGCUACUCCUUUCUAGGUGAAGGUUUCCCUCCUUCAGUGUGGGUGGCAGGAGCUUGUGCUUCUGCUGCUGACACUUUUGAUCUUGACUCUCACUGGUGGUUGUUGGCAGCCACAUUUAAUUAUCAUGCAAUCAACAUUGUUUUGUUAUUCUCCUUUCAAAAUGACCCAAAGGUACUUGACAACAGCGCCAUAUCAACCAAACCAAACCAAACCAAACCAAACCAAACCAGACCUUACCUCUUGGGAAGGAUGGAAGUAGCCUUAAUAUUCUUCAUUCCAAGGAAGAAUUUAUUACAUGCUUCACAUGUUUUCAUGUUCUCUUUCCCUAAAACACUGUAAAGACAUAGAGAAGGCCAGAGGUUAGAUAUGGCAUAAUUGCAAUGGCAGUCCAUCUCUUCCUGACCGAUUAAUUAUUGAUCUAUUUUCCUG
ensembl:lncRNA